rnacentral:rRNA from 1 species
GACGAACGCUGGCGGCGUGCUUAACACAUGCAAGUCGAACGAUGAAGCCGGAGCUUGCUCUGGUGAAUUAGUGGCGAACGGGUGAGUAACACGUGAGUAACUUGCCCUUGACUCUGGGAUAACUGCGGAAAACUGUAGCUAAUACCGGAUACGACCCUCGGAGGCAUCUCCUGGGGGUGGAAAGAAUUUCGGUCAAGGAUGGACUCGCGGCCUAUCAGCUAGUUGGUGAGGUAAAGGCUCACCAAGGCGACGACGGGUAGCCGGCCUGAGAGGGUGACCGGCCACACUGGGACUGAGACACGGCCCAGACUCCUACGGGAGGCAGCAGUGGGGAAUAUUGCACAAUGGGCGCAAGCCUGAUGCAGCAACGCCGCGUGAGGGAUGACGGCCUUCGGGUUGUAAACCUCUUUUAGCAGGGAAGAAGCGAAAGUGACGGUACCUGCAGAAAAAGCACCGGCUAACUACGUGCCAGCCGCCGCGGUAA